UACACUAAACCUCACCCACUAACCUAACCCACUACACCCACUCAACUCCACUAAACCUAACCCACUCUACCUACCACCUCCACUUCACCCCCUACCAGCACCACCACAAUCUGCUACCUUCUCUUCUAUAUAUAGGAGUUGUAAUCAAUAUACACAAAUCAAUCUUGUAAUAUAUACACAUCAAUCAAUAAUACAUACUUUCAUCAUGGUAUCAGAGCAAGGUUAAGAACCUAUUCAUUCUGCUUCACCGGCGGGCGGCAGCCUCGCCUUGGCCGCCCGCCGGACCUCUACACAUACCUUGGCAUCUCGAGAAGUGAACUCCAUGAUCUGCUAAGCAAACCAUCACUGAGUGGUAUUCCAUUGUUGGUGUUAGGCAACAAGAUCGACAAGCCUGGUGUUGGUGCCAUUAAAAGAAAACCCAAUCGGGUUCGGAUCCUGAUCCGUUACAGUACUGAUGCUACCACUGCGACAAACGGGUCUCCAUCGAAACCCUCCCCGACCUCCCCGAUAUGGUCUGCUACAAGUGCGCGAACGGCUUCCCUGAGCUCUGGUACACGGGGCGCCACCAAAUGCUAGAGAGGGAAGAGAGCCCUGUGUGUGUCUUCUCUAUCCUUCUCUAAACCGUCUAGUCUCUCUCAAACACACAGCACAUAUACACACAGAGGCAGCAGAUGUUGAAAGCAGCCUUUACUCUCUCUAGCGAGCUCAAACGCACAUCUCUCUCUCAGCGGGGAUACAUUUUCAGCAAAGGGACAAAGCCAUCGCUGGGCUCUCUCUCUCUCUCGGGCAUGGUCUCUUCUCUCUCUUUACAUUACCAACCCAUUAUAAUAUAUUAACCUCCACUAUCCACAUCAUGUAGCCCACAAUCUUUAUCACCCGCAGAUACACACACACUUGCACUAUACCUACCCAUUAUAAUAUAUUAACAUCCACUCUCCUCAUCCUGUAGCCCACUUUCUCUUUCUCCUUUUUCCAUUGCUAUUAUAUUCAGCUCGUUGCAUAAUUUCCAGCUCUUCAAACACAAGAAUACAAAUUUUAAUGAGCUCACUUCUCACUUAAAAGUAGAUUUCCAUCCAGAACUUGGCCAAUGGAAAAACUUUCAAAAAUUCUUAGUCUAGCAACAUUUAAAAAAAAAAAAA